rnacentral:misc_RNA from 1 species
UCUCCGUUGGUGAACCAGCGGAGGGAUCAUUACAGGACUCGCAAGACUCCUACAACCCUGUGAACUUAACUAUAAGCACGUUGCUUCGGCGGGUGUCUCGGAGGGGGUUCUCCCUCCCCGAGACGCUAAACCCGCCGGCAGCCUACUACACUCUGUCUCUUUGCGUUGGCAUCUCGAGUACAAUCAAACAAGUUAAAGCUUUCAACAACGGAUCUCUUGGUUCUG